UACGGAGGGUGCAAGCGUUAUCCGGAUUCACUGGGUUUAAAGGGAGCGCAGGCGGAUUGGUAAGUCAGUGGUGAAAGGCUUGAGCUUAACUCGGGAACUGCCAUUGAUACUAUCAGUCUUGAAUAUUGUUGAGGUUUGCGGAAUGGGUCAUGUAGCGGUGAAAUGCAUAGAUAUGACCCGGAACACCUAUUGCGAAGGCAGCAGGCUAAACAAAGAUUGACGCUGAGGCUCGGAAAGCGUGGGGAUCAAACAGG
rnacentral:rRNA from 1 species